GACCUUGUGGCGCAAUGGUUAGCGUAUCUCUUUCCGGAGGAGAAGGUUCCAGGUUCGAGUCCUGGUGAGGUCG